rfam:Apaloderma vittatum contig57880, whole genome shotgun sequence.
UAGCUCAGUCAGUUGAGCGUGGCGCUGACAACGCCAAGGUCACGGGUUCGAUUCCCGU